AAGCGUGCGCAGGCGGUUUUGUAAGACUGUCGUGAAAUCCCCGGGCUCAACCUGGGAAUGGCGAUGGUGACUGCAAGGCUAGAGUUUGGCAGAGGGGGGUAGAAUUCCACGUGUAGCAGUGAAAUGCGUAGAUAUGUGGAGGAACACCGAUGGCGAAGGCACGCCCCCUGGGUCAAAACUGACGCUCAUGCACGAAAGCGUGGGGAGCAAACAGGAUUAGAUACCCUGGU
rnacentral:rRNA from 1 species